UGGGGAAUAUUGCACAAUGGGGGAAACCCUGAUGCAGCGACGCCGCGUGAGCGAAGAAGGUUUUCGAAUCGUAAAGCUCUGUCCUAUGAGAAGAUAAUGACGGUAUCAUAGGAGGAAGGCCCGGCUAAAUACGUGCCAGCAGCCGCGGUAAUACGUAUGGGGCGAGCGUUGUCCGGAAUUAUUGGGCGUAAAGGGUACGUAGGCGGUCUAUUAAGUCAGGUGUGAAAGCGUGAGGCUUAACCUCAUUAAGCACUUGAAACUGAUAGACUUGAGUGAAGGAGAGGAAAGUGGAAUUCCCAGUGUAGCGGUGAAAUGCGUAGAUAUUGGGAGGAACACCAGUAGCGAAGGCGGCUUUCUGGACUGCAACUGACACUGAGGCACGAAAGCGUGGGUAGCAAACAGG
rnacentral:rRNA from 1 species